rnacentral:rRNA from 1 species
GACAGAGGUGACAAGCGUUGUUCGAAAUUACUGGGCAUACAGGGCAUGUAGGCGGCCUGAUCCGUCAGAGGUGAAAUCCCUUGGCUCAACCAAGGAAUUGCCUUUGAUACCAUCAGGCUCGAGGACGAUAGGGGAGAGCGGAAUUCCGGGUGGAGCGGUGAAAUGCGUAGAUAUCCGGAAGAACACCGGUGGCGAAGGCGGCUCUCUGGUUCGUCCCUGACGCUGAGGUGCGAAAGCCAGGGGAG